CAGGAAAAAAUUGUUCAUCAGUGGAUGACAUUUGUGCUAGUGAUCCUUGCUUUAACGGAGCUACAUGUGUGAGCAGUCCAAACAACACAGGCUUCACUUGUCUCUGUAACUACCCUUUCAAUGGAAGUCUGUGUGAAUCUACAAUAACAAGCAACUUUGAUAAAGUGAACUUAACAACCACUGUGAAACAAAACAGUUCUAUAACUACACCACCACCAACCACUAGACCAGGUUUAACAGACUCAACUUCCUGGAGUGGAAAAACAGAUGAUGAAAGAAACUGGAAGAACCAUCACAAGGGUAAUCAUAACAAGAGAAAUCCAUCACAGGGAAAAGCCAUCAAACGAACAUUAAUUUCAGAAAAAUUCUUAUCUUAUGUAUUUCAGCAAAGAGAAAAGCCAUGCAGUGGCUAAAAUUGAAAUUUUUUUGUGGACGUUUGUUUAAUAAAGUUUAGCUUCUUUUAUGUCUUAAUUUGCAGUCAAUAUAUAGGCUUAUUUAACACUUUUUAGACUUUUGACAUGAAAAUAUUUGUAAAACCUUUUAAUAUUGAAAUAAAUAUA